rnacentral:rRNA from 1 species
UACGGAGGGUGCAAGCGUUAAUCGGAAUUACUGGGCGUAAAGCGCACGCAGGUGGCUGAGUCAGUCGAUUGUGAAAGCCCUGGGCUUAACCUGGGAAUUGCAGUCGAUACUACUCAGCUAGAGUAUGGGAGAGGGCAGUGGAAUUCCAGGUGUAGCGGUGAAAUGCGUAGAUAUCUGGAGGAACAUCAGUGGCGAAGGCGACACCCUGGACUCAUACUGACACUGAGGUGCGAAAGCGUGGGGAGCAAACAGG